rnacentral:rRNA from 1 species
CAACUCCAAGUGGUGGAUCACUCGGCUCGG